AUGUUAGAUCCUGCGGGGACGAACGAUGUUUUGUUCUAAGAUGCAGCAGGAGAUUCCUGUACCCCGCAGUGAGAAGCCCAAUCACGCUCAUCGGUAUUAUCAAAGCCAGCUGAGUCGGGCCAACUCCAAAAAGUCAGCAGCAAACAUGCCAACGUUUCUGGACAGUUCAACGGCACAACAGGUGAAGGAGACUGAGAAACUCGACCCAGAGCACAUUUAUAUCUCUACCCGCACAGUACUUGGAGACCAGAGACAGUGUGCUGGGGCAACAGCCCCCCCCCAUGACCUGGAUUAUCCCUGCCAUCUGUGCUGAUAUCUCACAACGUUCUAGGGGCAAAUCACCCAGGCCUCACAAAACAUAAGAACUGUGCUGACAAGUUAUCCAAGAUCCUUCAUCAACUCCAAUAACAUGGUCAAGUAAACCAGGUUGACGUCUGAAUUAUAAACC